UUUUAGUAGUAUUUAAAAGAAU
rnacentral:snRNA from 1 species